rnacentral:rRNA from 1 species
UACAGAGGGUGCAAGCGUUGUUCGGAAUUAUUGGGCGUAAAGGGCGCGUAGGCGGUGCGGUAAGUCCGCAGUGAAAUCUCUGGGCUCAACUCAGAGUCUGCUGUGGAAACUGCCGUGCUUGAGUGUGGGAGAGGUGAGUGGGAAUUCCGAGUGUAGAGGUGAAAUUCGUAGAGUAUUCGGAGGAACACCAGUGGCGAAGGCGGAGCUCACUGGCCAUUACGUGACGCUGAGGUGCGAAAGCGAUGGGGA